rnacentral:lncRNA from 1 species
AGCGUUGCCACAAUUUUUCUUAGAAGGAAAGGAAUUGGCUCAGUUUUUAUAUUAGGAGAAAAUUAGGUCCGAAAACCGAACAAACAUAUGGUUUACACUUGGAAAAAAAGCCGGCCGGCACAAUCCCACAACCAGAUGAGUGCCACAGAAGAAAAAAAAACUUACAUGGUUUUCAAAAAGUAGAAACCGGCUGCUGGACAUGUAACUAGAAGAGGCAUACCAAAUACGAUUCCUUAUGAACAACCCAUUCCUUCUGCGCAGUUAAGGCCACACAUGGCCCAGAAUCCUAGAGAGCCACAAACAGUCAAACAGAUCGACCUGCUCAAUCUCCCGAUGCUUCCCAACCCAGCUUCCAAGAACUGCAUGCGUUCGAACUGCCGGGCAAGGUGGACGGUCGGUCUACAUCUCCUCCGAUCCUCUCCUACCCUAUUUCUCACGUCCCCCCAUAAUCUGCCAAAGGAAACAGUCGCCCGGCCGAUGAUGAUCAAGGUUACUUCUACGGU